UUUCGCCUACGGGGGGCAGCAGUGGGGAAUAUUGCACAAUGGGGGAAACCCUGAUGCAGCGACGCCGCGUGAGUGAAGAAGUAUCUCGGUAUGUAAAGCUCUAUCAGCAGGAAAGAUAAUGACGGUACCUGACUAAGAAGCCCCGGCUAACUACGUGCCAGCAGCCGCGGUAAUACGUAGGGGGCAAGCGUUAUCCGGAUUUACUGGGUGUAAAGGGAGCGCAGGCGGUGCGGCCAGUCUGAUGUGAAAGCCCGGGGCUCAACCCCGGGACUGCAUU
rnacentral:rRNA from 1 species